AUUGAACGCUGGCGGCAGGCCUAACACAUGCAAGUCGAGCGGCAGCGGGAAAGUAGCUUGCUACUUUUGCCGGCGAGCGGCGGACGGGUGAGUAAUGCCUGGGAAAUUGCCCAGUCGAGGGGGAUAACAGUUGGAAACGACUGCUAAUACCGCAUACGCCCUACGGGGGAAAGCAGGGGACCUUCGGGCCUUGCGCGAUUGGAUAUGCCCAGGUGGGAUUAGCUAGUUGGUGAGGUAACGGCUAACCAAGGCGACGAUCCCUAGCUGGUCUGAGAGGAUGAUCAGCCACACUGGAACUGAGACACGGUCCAGACUCCUACGGGAGGCAGCAGUGGGGAAUAUUGCACAAUGGGGGAAACCCUGAUGCAGCCAUGCCGCGUGUGUGAAGAAGGCCUUCGGGUUGUAAAGCACUUUCAGCGAGGAGGAAAGGUUGAUGCCUAAUACGUAUCAACUGUGACGUUACUCGCAGAAGAAGCACCGGCUAACUCCGUGCCAGCCGCCGCAGUAA
rnacentral:rRNA from 1 species